rnacentral:rRNA from 1 species
CCCUUAGAUGUUCUGGGCCGCACGCGCGCUACACUGACGAAUGCAACGAGCUUAUAACCUUGGCCGAAAGGUCUGGGUAAUCUCCAAAUUUCGUCGUGAUGGGGAUAGAUUAUUGCAAUUAUUAAUCUUCAACGAGGAAUGCCUAGUAAGCGCAAGUCAUCAGCUUGCGUUGAUUACGUCCCUGCCCUUUGUACACACCGCCCGUCGCUCCUACCGAUUGAAUGGUCCGGUGAAGCGUUCGGGCCGUGGCCUUUGGACGGUUCGCCGUCUGUUGGCUGCGGGAAGUUCGUUAAACCUUAUCAUUUAGAGGAAGGAGAAGUCGUAACA